rnacentral:rRNA from 1 species
CCUACGGGUGGCAGCAGUGAGGAAUAUUGGUCAAUGGGCGAGAGCCUGAACCAGCCAAGUCGCGUGAAGGAUGACGGCCCUACGGGUUGUAAACUUCUUUUGUCAGGACGCAAUUGGGUCCACGCGUUGGCUUAGCUAGAGUACCUGAUGAAAAAGCAUCGGCUAACUCCGUGCCAGCAGCCGCGGUAAUACGGAGGCUGCGAGCGUUAUCCGGAUUGAUUGGGUUAAAAGGGUGCGUAGGCGGAAUAUCAAGUCAGCGGUAAAAAUUCGGGGCUCAACCCCGUCGUGCCGUUGAAACUGAUGUUCUUGAGUGCGCGAGAGGUAUGCGGAAUGCGUGGUGUAGCGGUGAAAUGCAUAGAUAUCACGCAGAACUCCGAUUGCGAAGGCAGCAUACCGGCGCCCAACUGACGCUGAAGCACGAAAGCGUGGGUAGCGAACAGGAUUAGAUACCCCGGUAGUC